rnacentral:rRNA from 1 species
CCUACGGGUGGCAGCAUUGGGGAAUAUUGGACAAUGGGGGCAACCCUGAUCCAGCCAUGCCGCGUGUGUGAAGAAGGCCCUCGGGUUGUAAAGCACUUUCAGUGAGGAAGAACGCCUGGUGGUUAAUACCCAUCAGGAAAGACAUCACUCACAGAAGAAGCACCGGCUAACUCCGUGCCAGCAGCCGCGGUAAUACGGAGGGUGCGAGCGUUAAUCGGAAUUACUGGGCGUAAAGCGCGCGUAGGUGGCUUGAUAAGCCGGUUGUGAAAGCCCCGGGCUCAACCUGGGAACGGCAUCCGGAACUGUCAAGCUAGAGUGCAGGAGAGGAAGGUAGAAUUCCCGGUGUAGCGGUGAAAUGCGUAGAGAUCGGGAGGAAUACCAGUGGCGAAGGCGGCCUUCUGGACUGACACUGACACUGAGGUGCGAAAGCGUGGGUAGCAAACAGGAUUAGAUACCCUAGUAGUC